rnacentral:rRNA from 1 species
UAUUACCAGAAGCGACGGCAGUGUGAAGGUCAGACUAAAGAUCUUGCCUGACAAGCCGAGAGGUGUUGCAUGGCGAUCGUCAGUUCGUGGUGUGAACUAUCCGGUUAAGUCCGGUAACGAACGAGAUCCUCACUGACAGUUGCAACCAAUACAGAUGUGUAUUGGGCACUCUGUCGGGACCGCCUGCGUUUAAGCAGGAGGAAGGAGAGGGCUACGGUACGUCAGUACGGCCCGAACCUCCAGGGCUACACGCGGCAUACAAAGGUUGGUACAAUGGGCUGCCACUCAGAAAUGAGGAGCCAAUCCCCUAAACCAAUCGAAGUUCGGAUUGAGGGUUGAAACUCACCCUCAUGAAGUUGGAAUCCCUAGUAAUCGCUUGUCAUCAUCGAGCGGUGAAUACGUCCCU